CCAGCGCUCUUCAACUCACAAACAACGACAUGACACCCAAAUUUCAUCCCUUUCCAAUUCCACCCUACCUUUCCUUUCCCUUCCCUUAAAAACAACCAGCUUUUUCCAGUUUCCCCCCAAUUAACCAUUUCUCUCCCCUCUCAAACCCACCUUUUUUUCUCUUUAGAAUUCCGUAGAACGGAUACUUCAACGGGAAAAAAAAAAAAAAACCCAGAUGUCUUCGGUUUAUUCAGAUCCGAUCCAUGGAACCCACCCGGAACCAAUCGAUCACUUCGACCGUCUUCCCGAUUCUCUUCUCCUUUUAGUCUUCAACAUGAUCGGCGACGUGAAAGCGCUUGGCCGAUGCUGCGUUGUUUCGCGUCGUUUCCACGCCCUCGUCCCUCAAGUUGAAAACGUCGUCGUUCGUGUCGAUUGCGUCAUCUCCGACGACGAUUGUUCCCCUUCUUCCUCUGUCAAAUCACGUGCCGCCGGUCCAUUUUCCACCCUCUUCCGUCUCGUUUUCGGUGGCAUUGUCAAGCCCCUCCAAGCUUUGGGCCAAUUCCUUGGCCCCGAACGCCCCUCUCUCAACAAAACGCUCAAUACCUCUUCAUCUUCCUCUUUAUCUGUCGGUCUCGGCGGAGGUGAGGAUGGGGAAAUGGACCAAGGUGGGGUUACCCAUCAUUCUCCGACUCAAGUGCUUAGAAAUUUCAACGAGCUUCGUUUCCUCCGAAUUGAAUUGCCCGGCGGCGAGUUAGGGAUCGAUGACGGAGUUCUGCUGAAAUGGAGAGCCGAUUUCGGAUCAACCCUUGAUAGCUGCGUAAUCCUCGGAGCUGCUUCCGUUUUUAACAAUGUGCAUUUCCAAGUACCAGGGCAUGGGAACGAUGGAUUUUGCAUCAACAACGGUUCUAAUGUCGGCAACGGUGAUGAUAAUGGGAGUAUCCCUGAGUCGUUUUAUACCAAUGGAGGCUUGAAAUUAAGGGUUGUUUGGACUAUUAGCUCGUUAAUCGCAGCAUCAGCGAGGCAUUAUUUGCUUCAAUCCAUAAUUGCAGAGCAUAAGACGCUGGAUAGCUUGGUUUUGACCGAUGCGGAUGGACAAGGGGUGCUUUGUAUGAACGGUGAGCAGCUUGAGGAGUUAAGAGUGAAACCAUUAUCAGCUUCUGCUGCUUCAAAAAGGACGCUGGUGCCGGCUCUGAAUAUGAGGCUUUGGUAUGCUCCUCAUUUGGAGUUGCCUGAUGGGGUUGUUUUACAAGGUGCCACUUUGGUUGCUAUCAGGCCUAGUGAACAAUCUGCUUCGAAAAAAGAGGUUUCGGAUGCUUCUUGGUUAUCAUCUGCUUUUGAAGAGCCUUAUGGGACUGCAGCUAAGAUGCUGGUUAAGAGAAGGACUUACUGUCUGGAGAUGAACUCGUUCUGAUGCCUGCUUCCUGUUCUGUAAAGGGAAAGCUGCACCAUGGUCAAGGGGAUAGAGGUGAUAGCUUGCUUUUGGAAAGCUGAUAAUCAGACCACAAUUUUGUUACAUGUUGUUGCUGAUUCUCAGGGCAAUAUCGUUUGAAAGCUAAAACUUGCUUUGGAUCACCAGUGAGGGCAGUCCAUGCUUGUUGAUAAUUCACUGCUAGUGUUUGAGCUUUUGUGCUUCAGCUGAUUACCGAAAUGCAUCUGCUGCUUGUUUUUUAUUUCAGGCAUAUGCUUUUAAGAGUGCACACCUGCAACUAGAAUGAUGUUGGUCUUUGACGCACCUGAUUUAUUGACGCAUGGUACCGAUCAGAACUCAGAUUUACUUGCUGGGUCUAUUAUUGCUUUAUUUCUUGGGCAAAUUCAAUCAAGGGCGAAGUUACCCAGCAAACAGGAUGCACGUUUCAUCAACUUCCAAGGUCCUGUGAGUUUUUAGUUUCUCAUUAUUGUUCAGAAUGAUUUGCCGUCAUUCAUUGAGCUUCUGCAACCUUGUUUUUCCCCCUUCAUUUUUGGGUUUCCAAUUUCCACCCAUUAGUUUAUAUCUUUAAAUUAACCCAUUAAGAUUAUACAUUUGUUUAAGAUUGAGACUGUUAGUAUAGUACUCUCAACACAGUUUCCUUAUCAUACAUGAGAGAGAGAGAGAGAGAGAGAGAGAGAGAUCAUGAAUGAAUGCUAUUAUAUACUUUUCAUUAUUGAUUUCUUUAAUGCAACUUUUCAUAAUUGAUUCAAUGCGGUUGAA